rnacentral:siRNA from 1 species
GGCUUGCCGUUGCUCUUCGCCAA